UCCAGUUUAAUGAAAGCUUAGAUGUCCCUGC
rnacentral:piRNA from 2 species